CAGGACUGAACCAGGACUGAACCAGGACUAAACCAGGACUAAACCAGGACUAAACCAGGACUGAACCAGGACUGAACCAGGACUAAACCAGGACUAAACCAGGACUAAACCAGGACUGAACCAGGACUGAACCAGGACUGAACCAGGACUGAACCAGGACUAAACCAGGACUAAACCAGGACUGAACCAGGACUGAACCAGGACUGAACCAGGACUAAACCAGGACUAAACCAGGACUAAACCAGGUCUAAACCAGGACUAAACCAGGACUGAACCAGGUCUAAACCAGAACUGAACCAGAACUGAACCAGGACUAAACCAGGACUAAACCAGGUCUAAACCAGGUCUAAACCAGGACUGAACCAGGACUGAACCAGGACUAAACCAGGACUAAACCAGGACAAGCAUAUGGUGAACCCUCAAUUAGAAAAGUGACUUAGUGCAGCUUUAAAGGAGGUUUAAACCAGGAGCAGUUCAGCGAGGUAAUGAAUACAGUAAUAGUUUUGAAAAGGAAGUUACAAAAAGUAAAUCUUUUCACAAUAAAAGCCUGAUUCAGAUGAACACAGACGGUGUGAAGGUCUCGUCCUCAGCUCUUUAAGUCUGCAGCACUUUUAAACACGUUUGCUCUUCACUUGGAGCAGCCAUUUUGAAUUUACAUUGAUUUAGUUGAAGCUUUUUGUUACGUGCAAAGUGCAAACCUCUUUGAUUUUAGGUGUAUUUAGGUCCACAUUGUGUUACAUGGAAUAAAUAUGCUUUGUAAAUGCUCAAUGUAGAUAAUAUUCAGUUAUAUUUAAUAAAACAUUACAUAUUGAUAAUGGGGUAAAAAGAGUUUCUUUGGGUUGUGUGAAUUAAGUUGUGUUUAAAGGCCCAUAUGACACUGUUUUCUGUUUCCUCGUCACACACAGACCUGGAGUUGUGUUUUUUUGUUUCAUUCUCACAUGUUUAACACACAAACCUGCAGAUUUAGGCUGAGUUCUUCUCUCAAACAGAAAGAAAACACUCUGUUCCACCUUGUGAUGUCAUCAUGUGGUGAUACAGGAAGUGCUCCACUGUGUUUUUAAACUCCACACACCUUCAUUUAUAGAAUCAUCUGGAUCAUUUCAGCAAAUCUGGAGUUUCCAAUCUUCUGCUGAACUAAAGGUAAAAGGAGGAGGAGUUAACUUGAAAACGACCACUUGAUGACAUCACAAGGUGGAACAGAGCGUUUUGAUCUUUGUAGAUGUAACAGACGAAUACUAAAGUGCGACUCAAACAUGUGUGAAUGAAACAAAACACAACUCCAGGUCUGUUUUUGAGGAGGAAACGGCGUCAGAACAUGGAUUAAAGCUUAAAGUGAAAGAAGGUGUUUGUUUGUUUGUUUAUGGACCAAAUCUGAUUUAAACAGUUUGUGAAAUUGAUCGUUUAUUUCCAAAACAUAAACCUGAAGGGUCCAAGUUCAAGCUUCUUUGAUUGAAUGUUCUGUAAUAAACAUAAUGCCAC
ensembl:lncRNA